rnacentral:tRNA from 1 species
GUCAGUGUGACCGAGUGGUUAAAGGCGCUAGACUUAAACUAUUGCAUAUAGUAAUUUAGGUAAUUCAUUACUGUAUAGCGUGGUAUAUCUAGUACAUUCGUGUUCGUAGGUCAAAUCCUGCCGCUGACG